CUACCCGCCGGCGACCGGCGCACGGGUGAGUAACACGUAUGAAACCUGCCCGUAGCAGGGGGAUAAGCGGAAGAAAUUCCGUCUAAUACCGCGUAACAACCCGAGGAGGCAUCUCCUCGGGUUUAAAGGAAGCGAUUCCGGCUACGGAUGGUCAUGCGUCGCAUUAGCUAGUUGGCGGGGUAACGGCCCACCAAGGCGACGAUGCGUAGGGGUUCUGAGAGGAAGGUCCCCCACACUGGUACUGAGACACGGACCAGACUCCUACGGAAGGCAGCAG
rnacentral:rRNA from 1 species